rnacentral:rRNA from 1 species
AGAGUUUGAUCCUGGCUCAGGAUGAACGCUAGCUACAGGCUUAACACAUGCAAGUCGAGGGGAAACGACAUCGAAAGCUUGCUUUUGAUGGGCGUCGACCGGCGCACGGGUGAGUAACGCGUAUCCAACCUGCCCAUCACUUGGGGAUAACCUUGCGAAAGUAAGACUAAUACCCAAUGAUAUCUCUAGAAGACAUCUGAAAGAGAUUAAAGAUUUAUCGGUGAUGGAUGGGGAUGCGUCUGAUUAGCUUGUGGCGGGGUAACGGCCACCAAGGCUACGAUCAGUAGGGGUCUGAGAGGAAGGUCCCCANAUUGGAACUGAGACACGGUCCAAGCUCCUACGGGAGGCA